rnacentral:rRNA from 1 species
UUUUGUAAGCCUGCUAUGGUAUAACUUAGUGGCAGACGGGUGAGUAAUGUAUAGGAAUCUACCUAGUAGUACGGAAUAAUUGUUGGAAACGGCAACUAAUACCGUAUACGCCCUACGGGGGAAAAAUUUAUUGCUAUUAGAUGAGCCUAUAUUAGAUUAGCUAGUUGGUGGAGUAAUAGCCUACCAAGGCAAUGAUCUAUAGCUGAUCUGAGAGGAUGAUCAGCCACACUGGAACUGAGAUACGGUCCAGACUCCUACGGGAGGCAGCAGUGGGGAGUAUUGGACAAUGGGCGAAAGCCUGAUCCAGCCAUGUCGCAUGAGUGAAGAAGGCCUUUGGGUUGUAAAGCUCUUUUAGUGAGGAAGAUAAUGACGGUACUCACAGAAGAAGUCCUGGCUAACUCCGUGCCAGCAGCCGCGGUAAUACGGAGAGGGCUAGCGUUAUUCGGAAUUAUUGGGCGUAAAGGGCGCGUAGGCUAGUUAAUAAGUUAAAAGUGAAAUCCCGAGGCUUAACCUUGGAAUUGCUUUUAAAACUAUUAAUCUAGAGAUUGAAAGAGGAUAGAGGAAUUCCUGAUGUAGAGGUAAAAUUCGUAAAUAUUAGGAGGAACACCAGUGGCGAAGGCGUCUAUCUGGUUCAAAUCUGACGCUGAGGCGCGAAGGCGUGGGGAGCAAACAGGAUUAGAUACCCUGGUAGUCCACGCUGUAAACGAUGAAUGUUAAAUAUGGGAAGUUUACUUUCUGUAUUACAGCUAACGCGUUAAACAUUCCGCCUGGGGACUACGGUCGCAAGAUUAAAACUCAAAGGAAUUGACGGGGACCCGCACAAGCGGUGGAGCAUGUGGUUAAUUCGAUGCAACGCGAAACCCUCAUC